UUGGAUCCAGACUUUGAUAUGGCUCAGGAUGAACGCUAGCUACAGGCUUAACACAUGCAAGCCGAGGGGAAACGAUAGAGAAAGCUUGCUUUUUCUAGGCGUCGACCGGCGCACGGGUGAGUAACGCGUAUCCAACCUGCCCAUCACUUGGGGAUAACCUUGCGAAAGUAAGACUAAUACCCAAUGAUAUCUCUAGAAGACAUCUGAAGGAGAUUAAAGAUUUAUCGGUGAUGGAUGGGGAUGCGUCUGAUUAGCUUGUUGGCGGGGUAACGGCCCACCAAGGCGACGAUCAGUAGGGGUUCUGAGAGGAAGGUCCCCCACAUUGGAACUGAGACACGGUCCAAACUCCUACGGGAGGCAGCAGUGAGGAAUAUUGGUCAAUGGACGAGCGUCUGAACCAGCCAAGUAGCGUGCAGGAUGACGGCCCUAUGGGUUGUAAACUGCUUUUAUAAGGGAAUAAAGUGAGCUACGUGUAGCUUUUUGCAUGUACCUUAUGAAUAAGGACCGGCUAAUUCCGUGCCAGCAGCCGCGGUAAUACGGAAGGUCCGGGCGUUAUCCGGAUUUAUUGGGUUUAAAGGGAGCGUAGGCCGGAGAUUAAGCGUGUUGUGAAAUGUAGAUGCUCAACAUCUGCACUGCAGCGCGAACUGGUUUCCUUGAGUACGCACAAAGUGGGCGGAAUUCGUGGUGUAGCGGUGAAAUGCUUAGAUAUCACGAAGAACUCCGAUUGCGAAGGCAGCUCACUGGAGCGCAACUGACGCUGAAGCUCGAAAGUGCGGGUAUCGAACAGGAUUAGAUACCCUGGUAGUCCGCACGGUAAACGAUGGAUGCCCGCUGUUGGUCUGAAUAGGUCAGCGGCCAAGCGAAAGCAUUAAGCAUCCCACCUGGGGAGUACGCCGGCAACGGUCAACUCAAAUGAAUUGACGGA
rnacentral:rRNA from 1 species